CUACUGCCCUCUCUCUCUCUCUGUGUAGUCUGAGCUUCUGUGUUUGGGCGAACUCUAACUAGACAGAGGGUUUGGCUGGUCGACGGUUCCAGAUCCUGCCUCCGACGAGCAAGUUUGGCACUGGGAACCCUACGAGUAGAGUGGGGAUGGUGCGAGUGUAGUGUUGUGUACUACAACCUUCAGAAAUCCUGGAGACUUGGUGGUGAUCGUUGGCUGUUUAUAGUUUAUAAAACAAUUUUUUUGCUUCCAUGUGCUAAUUAAUAAAACAUUACACCAUAUUAUGUAUAGUUUAUAAUACUUUUUUUUGCUUGCAAACAAGUUUAUUGAAAUUUUUGUGGAAGGAUAUAAACUGCCUUUUGCUUGCAUGUAGAGCACUUUGGUGAUGAAUUAUCUAUGCCUCAGUUCACUAGCAGUUAGUUACUAUUCUCCUUAUGGUAUGGAUGCUAGGCAGCAGCUCUCCUCCUCUUGGCCCCUGAUAUCUUCAUCAUGCUCAAUGAGAUGUUCUCGAAAAAAGAUUUAGCCUGUGUUCUGUUUUUCCAAUAACAGAUCGGCUUGGCUAUGUAUAUAAUAUAUGUUCAUUAAGAUUCUGGAGAGAAGGUUACUGCAACGCAAUCCCUUAAAAUGCAUUUAAUUGUAUUUGUUAUGAACUGAAUAACUAAUGUAUCAUGUAUCGUCUACUCAGUUACAACCAUUUUAUUUCUUAUUGAUGUUUGGAUGAAAUAAUUCAUUUGCAUGAGAUUAUAAUUUAUGCCUGCCAAUCAGAAAUUUGAACUAAGGUGCUAGCUCUAGAUCUAACUGUAAUGUUGCUGAUCUCGAAUGUGUAACACAAAGUCAAAAGAAUAUGUGACGGCAGAUUCAAUCCAUUUUCGUGAAACGUUUCAGUUGCUUACUCUUGAUAUCUUAUUGCUGUAUUCUAUGCAGAAUGACAAGAUGGAGCUUCUGAAACCAGGAUCGCUUCAGCAUCUUGGAGAAAAAUAGAAAAUAUGCUUGAUUUCUUACUGCAUGCUGCUUCAUCACCAAAAUUUAUGAAAGAUGCGCAACAGGCAAAGCAAGAGAGCACAGAAGCGAACAAAGCUAUUUUCUUUGAUGUUCUGGUAUAUAUAAUGAUUAAAUCAUCUUUGUUUGCUGUCUUUCAAAUAUUAUGGCUGUACCAUGCAUUAUGUUUUUCUCAUCAAGCUAAGUAAGCACACAUGUAGCUUCCACAUUUUGACAUUUUCCUAAGGAAAAUAGAUCUUUACACUUGGUCUGCAUAUUCUCCAUCUAUUGCUAUAACUUCUCCAAUCAUGUGUCUGUUCUCCUGAUGUUGGAGGAGGACAAGAAUAUUUGCUCUUUGUUUGGUGUAGCAAGUCAACGUCCUCCACUUCCUCCUCUAGGAAAGGGUCCUGGCUCCGCCAAGCUCGGCCACGCCGCCACCAGCGGCACCGCAUCUCAGGAAAGGGUCAAGUCGAGCUCUCCCGUGCCGCCAACAACAAAAACAGGUUUAUGUGCGCCCUCGGCGACAAUCAUACGGUCACCCUCUGCCGCUGCGUUGGAACCAAACCCUGACUGUCCACAACCGCCUAGUCCAUCUACGUUGGUGGCAGAGGCGGUACUAGAGGUGUUCUCCAGUCCAUCUACUCCAUGGCUAACUGUCCUCCCUGCCACCAGGGCGAAAACCACUCGGGUCUGCGAGCACGAAGAACCCCAAUGAGAAUACAUUGAAGGACCUUGGAACUGGAGGUUGUUCAACGUAUUUUGUUCUAUUCUUGACCAGUAGAAAAACUAAAGUAGCACAACUACACUUAGUUCUAAGUUUUGUUGUACAAAUUGACUCUUUUUAGGAUGACCAAAUUUCUCCCGUGUUUAUUGUUAUACAUAUUGAUUGUUGAUACUCUCGGUCAGGGAUCUUGCAAUUUUUGUUCAUUGGCAUAUUUAUCAAGUUAGCUGGCUCCCUCUCAGGGAAGUUAAAA